rnacentral:rRNA from 1 species
UACGUAGGGGGGCAAGCGUUGUCCGGAAUCAUUGGGCGUAAAGAGCGUGUAGGCGGCCUUACAGGUCAGCUGUGAAAACUCGAGGCUCAACCUCGAGACGUCGGUUGAAACCGUAAGGCUAGAGUCCGGAAGAGGAGAGUGGAAUUCCCGGUGUAGCGGUGAAAUGCGCAGAUAUCGGGAAGAACACCCGUGGCGAAGGCGGCUCUCUGGGACGGUACUGACGCUGAGACGCGAAAGCGUGGGGAGCGAACAGG